GGGUCAGUAGGUUGGUCGUGCCACCGGUACGUACUGGUCUCACUGGUUCCUCCUUCCUGAAGAACCGUAAUGCCAUUAAUUUGGUGUUGCGGGGAAACAGGACUGUUACUUUGAAAAAAUUAGAGUGUUUAAAGCAAGCUAACGCUUGAAUACAUUAGCAUGGAAUAAUGAAAUAGGACGAUCGAUCCUAUUUUGUUGGUUUCUAGGAUUGACGCA
rnacentral:rRNA from 1 species